AGUGAACGCUGGCGGUAGGCCUAACACAUGCAAGUCGAACGGCAGCACAGUAAGAGCUUGCUCUUACGGGUGGCGAGUGGCGGACGGGUGAGGAAUACAUCGGAAUCUACUUUUUCGUGGGGGAUAACGUAGGGAAACUUACGCUAAUACCGCAUACGACCUACGGGUGAAAGCAGGGAAUCUUCGGACCUUGCGCGAUUGAAUGAGCCGAUUUCGGAUUAGCUAGUUGGCGGGGUAAAGGCCCACCAAGGCGACGAUCCGUAGCUGGUCUGAGAGGAUGAUCAGCCACACUGGAACUGAGACACGGUCCAGACUCCUACGGGAGGCAGCAGUGGGGAAUAUUGGACAAUGGGCGCAAGCCUGAUCCAGCCAUACCGCGUGGGUGAAGAAGGCCUUCGGGUUGUAAAGCCCUUUUGUUGGGAAAGAAAAGCAGCAGGUUAAUACCCCGCUGUUCUGACGGUACCCAAAGAAUAAGCACCGGCUAACUUCGUG
rnacentral:rRNA from 1 species